UGCUUGCUUGGCCUUGUUGCUAGGUGGGUGGCUUUUUGCCGAGCAGUCUUCGGGGAUGUUUUCCGUAAAGGUGCAUGAGUGGUGUUUGGUUUGUUAUGGAUGGUUGGAUGUCUGCUUGCGCAGCAACUUCCAUGCAUGCUUACCUUUUCAGUUGUGCUACAAGACUUGAUUGGCUUGAAGCAUUUGGUGGGUUUCCUGUGUUGCGUACCUAAUCGAUGGAAUUUCUUGCCCCUAAAGAUGCUUGAUUUCGUAAUGCGUUGUUUAUAGCACCGUAUUACGAACCACAAAGUGGCCUUCGUUGUCCACCCUAUCAAUGCUCAUGCAUCGAUGGUGUGGCCUAUGUAGUGUUGCUUGGUCCUUUGGAUACGGAACAUGAUGUGGCACUAGAUCUUCAAAGAUGUUGCCUUUGCCCCGAUUCAGUGUUGUAGCUACUUUAAAUGACUGUCCAUCAUGAUUGCACAUGUCGAUGCAUGAAGGGUUGUGUCGUUGAUGA
rnacentral:misc_RNA from 1 species